rnacentral:rRNA from 1 species
CCUACGGGAGGCAGCAGUGGGGAAUUUUGGACAAUGGGCGCAAGCCUGAUCCAGCAAUGCCGCGUGAGUGAAGAAGGCCUUCGGGUUGUAAAGCUCUUUUGUCAGGGAAGAAACGGUGGGAGCUAAUAUCUCCUACUAAUGACGGUACCUGAAGAAUAAGCACCGGCUAACUACGUGCCAGCAGCCGCGGUAAUACGUAGGGUGCAAGCGUUAAUCGGAAUUACUGGGCGUAAAGCGUGCGCAGGCGGUUUUGUAAGUCUGUCGUGAAAGCCCCGGGCUCAACCUGGGAAUUGCGAUGGAGACUGCAAGGCUUGAAUCUGGCAGAGGGGGGUAGAAUUCCACGUGUAGCAGUGAAAUGCGUAGAGAUGUGGAGGAACACCGAUGGCGAAGGCAGCCCCCUGGGUCAAGAUUGACGCUCAUGCACGAACGACGGUGGGGAGGACGAACGAGGAGUAGUAUACCGUACGGUAGUACCGACCGACCCGUAAACCGAACGUAGUCUACUACGUUAGGUUCGGGUUUUAACGUUUUAACGUUUA